ACUUCCCAGCUGUGCACCCUCUGGCCUUAGCUCCUCCCAGCAGCGUGGCCCGUGAAGGGCAGACUUCGUGACUAUCCAGCCCGCCUCCUCACAAGCUCCUGCAAUUCCUCCUGGAGUCCGUAUUCCCAGUCUGCUGUUGGGUGUUCUCCAUCCUAACACUUGUCUCCCAUUUGCUCUUCUUUUAUACCAGAAUUCACUCUGCCAGAAUAUUCUUCAUUCAAAUGAAAAAUCAAUCAAGUUAAAACCAAGUAUGCCAAAAACUCUAUAAGUUGAAACCUGCUUAAGCCUUUGGUUUUGAUUUAGUGUAGCUCGCACCUCAUGCUCAGGACGGUUUGAGUUGAAGACCAUGCAAGUCAUUCUCUCAAGUGUCUUCUUACCUCAGGACCUUUGCACACAUCAUUCUGUUGCCUAGAACUAUUUUUCUACCCUCCUGUGCUUUGUUCAGUUACCACUGCUUAGCCUCAGGGUUUCCUCCCGCAGCAGAACUGGUUUUGUACCCCAAGACUAGACUGGGGGAAGCUCCAUGAACCAUCCUGUGCUCACCAACACCUUCUGUUUUCUUGUUAAGCCUCUUUCACUGGAUUGUGAACUUUUCAAGAGUUCAGAUUAUGUCCCUUGCCCCUAGAAAAGCUGCCCACUAAAUAUUUUCAAAUGAACAAACAUGAUAUAAAGUGAGUACCACCUUUGUUUCUCUCACAGAGCUGCACUUCAAAAAGAUGGAUUCAGAUGAUUCUGGGAUCAGUGAAGAGCACUCUUUUCUCUAGUGUGCAUUUGACUCUUCUCUCUGUGUCUAACUUCCCUGGAGAGGUGAUGCCUUCAGCGAUGAUGGAAAGACCAUUGCGGGACUUACCAGUGCUAGAAUGUGCUGAGCUUCAAAAGUUCUGGUCUCACAAAACCGACCUCACCAAGAAAACACUGUGAAGUUUUUGGCAGAGACUGAUGGCAUAGUGAACAAGUUUCCAAGGCUGUGUACAACACACACAGACCUUUCUGUUAUCUUUGCUUCCAGCCAGCUGGGCACUGGACACCAGGACUCUUGAGACAAUGCCUAUGGGAAAACCAAAUGUCUCCUAUUUUAGAGGUAGAUUUUGUGCCCUCGGUCUUCAAUCUCAUCACUUCUGCAAGCAGUAAAAUAGGGUUUGGGGAGGUCAGGCGCCGGUCCUGACCCACAGAUACUGGUGCGUGGAGAUCUUGGCUGUCAUCCCGCUCACCCAGCCCUUUGUUGUAUUGCCUCUUGUUGCAUUCCGAGCCCACUGGACGUUGCAGCUGCCUCAUGUCAUGGGGACCUGAGGUAACCAAACCUUUCCUCUGUCCUUCUGUAGUGAAUCUGGUGGGUCGGGAGACGGCUCUUUGAGGCUGGAUGCGGGCGGGGUCGUGAGAGGCGAGGAGAGAACCAGAUCACUGGACUCAUUAAUCGCUGGGAGAGGGGGCAGGAAGGUCUUCCCAGAAGCUGUUACUCUGCCAACAGGAGGAAGGCCUCCCGGCCAUCUGGACCACCCGGCAGGGCAGGGCAGGGAGCGGCAUGGUGACAUUGCUUCAUUGCUCGCUUCCACGGGGGGCGAUUCAGAGCAGGGACCCCAGUGGCCGGUCUCCCCAGAAGCUCUCUCCUCAGUGGGUGGCAGCAGAGGUGGGGGCGCUGUGUGACCGAAAUCCGGAUGGGAGGGCAGCCUCUGAGUGCGGUGACCCCGGGAUGCGGUGUCACAGGGAACUUGGGGUGCGGGACCAUGUGAGGUUAUGGGGAUCUCGGGGUGCAGGCACUGAGGCGACACGGGGACCUUGGGUUGCAGGUGGUGAGAGAUCAUGGGGACCUUGGGUGCGGUCGGUGCGGGGUCACGGGACCUUGGGGUACAGGGCGGGGAGUGGGUCAAAGGGACCUCGGGGUGCGCGCGGCGGUGUGCGGU